rnacentral:rRNA from 1 species
GACGAACGCUGGCGGCGUGCCUAAUACAUGCAAGUAGAACGCAGUUGCGAACGGGUGAGAAACGCGUAGGUAACUGCCUCAUAGCGGGGGAUAACUAUUUGAAACGAUAGCUAAUACCGCAUACUGUGAGAUGGACCUGCGUUGUAUUAUGUAGUUGGUGAGGUAAAGGCUCACCAAGGCGACGAUACAUAGCCGUCCUGAGAGGGGGAUCGGGCAAAAUGGGACUGAGACAAGGCCCAGACUCCUACGGGAGGCAGCAGUAGGGAAUGUGCGGCAAUGGACGGAAGUCUGACCGAGCAACGCGGCGUGAGUGAUGAAGGGUUUCGGAUCGUAAAGCGCUGUUAUUAGGGAGGCGGUAACGAACGAGAAAGGGACGGCUAACUACGUGCCAGCAGCCGCGGUAAUUC